AUGUUACCUGCUAGGACCUACUAAUCUACCACUACCAUCCACUACUAUCUACUACUUAGGAUGAUUGUCAUGACUGUAGAUGAGAUCAAGCAGUACAGGCAAAUACAGCUAGGAGUCACACUAGUAACAUCCAGAGGAGAAAAGGUGACGAGUUUCGGAGCACCUAAAUCCACGAUUGCUAUCACGUUUCAAAAAAAAUAUAUAUAUAUAUAUAUCUCAAAAAAAAAAAAAACAAAAAAAAAUAAGAAUUCAACAUUGGGCAAAAAGAUUCGAGAAAACAAAAGAAUACAAUUUAAAAUCAGAAAUAAAAUUUCAAAAAAAAAAAAAAAGUAUAUACAUUGAGAGAAAAAUUCAGUCACUGGCAACGCCCACCCACCCACA